rnacentral:rRNA from 1 species
UACGUAGGGGGCAAGCGUUAUCCGGGUUUACUGGGUGUAAAGGGAGCGUAGACGGCGAUGCAAGUCUGAAGUGAAAGGCGGGGGCCCAACCCCCGGACUGCUUUGGAAACUGUAUGGCUGGAGUGCAGGAGAGGUAAGUGGAAUUCCUAGUGUAGCGGUGAAACGCGUAGAUAUUAGGAGGAACACCAGUGGCGAAGGCGGCUUACUGGACUGUAACUGACGUUGAGGCUCGAAAGCGUGGGGAGCAAACAGG